rnacentral:rRNA from 1 species
UGCAAGUCGAGCGGACUUGAUGGAGAGCUUGCUCUCCUGAUGGUUAGCGGCGGACGGGUGAGUAACACGUAGGCAACCUGCCUGCAAGACCGGGAUAACCCACGGAAACGUGAGCUAAUACCGGAUAUCUCAUUUCCUCUCCUGAGGGGAUGAUGAAAGACGGAGCAAUCUGUCACUUGCGGAUGGGCCUGCGGCGCAUUAGCUAGUUGGUGAGGUAACGGCUCACCAAGGCGACGAUGCGUAGCCGACCUGAGAGGGUGAACGGCCACACUGGGACUGAGACACGGCCCAGACUCCUACGGGAGGCAGCAGUAGGGAAUCUUCCGCAAUGGGCGAAAGCCUGACGGAACAACGCCGCGUGAGUGAUGAAGGUUUUCGGAUCGUAAAGCUCUGUU